ACACAGUGAUGAGAGUUAGC
rnacentral:miRNA from 1 species